rnacentral:rRNA from 1 species
UUCCUCUCAAAAAAGGGAGGUAAGGCCUGCUCACUGAGUUUUGAAGAGCCGCAGUAUCCUGACUGUGCUAAGGUAGCAUAAUCAUUAGUCUUUUAAUUGGAGACUGGUAUGAAUGGCUAAACGAGAAAUCGACUUUUUUUGUUAUAAAAAUUGAAUUUAAUUUUUUAGUGAAAAAGCUAAAAUUUUUCAGAAAGACGAGAAGACCCUAUAGAGUUUUAUAUUUCUGUGAAUUUUUUUUUAAUGGAUUUUUUUGAAAAAAAUUUUUUGGAAAUAUUUUGUUGGGGCGACAUUUAGAUAAGUGAAACUCUUUAUUUUAAAAACUUUAUUGUAAGAAUAAAUUUGAUCCUUUAUAAGAGAUCAUAAGAAAAAAUUACCUUAGGGAUAACAGCGUAAUCUUUUUUGAGAGUUCUAAUCGACAAAAAGGUUUGCGACCUCGAUGUUGGACUAAAAUUUAGGCAGGGUGCAGUAGUUCUGUUUUUGGGUCUGUUCGACCCGUAAUAUUUUACAUGAUCUGAUUCAGACCGG